AGCGAACGCUGGCGGCAGGCCUGACACAUGCAAGUCGAACGAACCUUUCGGGGUUAGUGGCGGACGGGUGAGUAACACGUUGGAACGUGCCUUUAGGUUCGGAAUAACUCAGGGAAACUUGUGCUAAUACCGAAUGUGCCCUUCGGGGGAAAGAUUUAUCGCCUUUAGAGCGGCCCGCGUCUGAUUAGCUAGUUGGUUGAGGUAAUGGCUCACCAAGGCGACGAUCAGUAGCUGGUCUGAGAGGAUGAUCAGCCACAUUGGGACUGAGACACGGCCCAAACUCCUACGGGAGGCAGCAGUGGGGAAUCUUGCGCAAUGGGCGAAAGCCUGACGCAGCCAUGCCGCGUGAAUGAUGAAGGUCUUAGGAUUGUAAAAUUCUUUCACCGGGGACGAUAAUGACGGUACCCGGAGAAGAAGCCCCGGCUAACUUCGUG
rnacentral:rRNA from 1 species